CGGGAAUAAAGGAUAGCUAAUCAGAAGGAGACAGCUGGCAAGAGGGUAAUAAACGAGUCGACUCAAGACGUUAGCUCAGUGAGUUAAGGAACGAGAGAGACGACGAGUUUAAAUACAGCUUUUGCAUCUUCUUUUCAAUUCAUUCAGAAAAAUAUUCUGUUAACUUUGUUCUGGGUUACGAUUUGUACUUCGAUUCAUAUCGUUUGAGGAUUUAUAAAAGAUCUUCUACGUUUGAGUUACGGAUUGUUGUUUUACGAACGGCAAUUCGAUCAUAGCGACGGUUUCAUCGUUAUCAGUGGUAUCAGAGCUCGACGAUUCCUUGGUUACCGGAUUCAAUGGCGGAGACGAGAGCGCAGGCGUUACUGAAAGGCGUAGCUCGCGAGACGGAGGAAGCUUUGAGUACUCGAUUCAAGCAAGUGACGUAGCGAACUC
rnacentral:lncRNA from 1 species